GAAAUGGCAAAUCAUUCCAGGAUUUUUGCACCCAAAAAAUCCCCAAAUGGGACCAUAAAGAGUUGAACAGGACUGAAAAACAACUAAACAACAAUAAGAGAUAGAUAAUAUGACAGAACUAUUAAGGAAAUCAAAUAACUUGAAGGUUUACUCUUGUCACUUUAUAGUAUCAUAACAUCAAAGACAAAGAUGAAAGAGAUUCUCAGAAAUCAUUUGGUCCAACCUUCUCAUUUUGCAGCUGAAGAAACUUAGGACAAGAGAGUUUAGGUGGUUUGCUCAAUCACACAUGUGAUUAGUAUCAAAGCCAGGAUUCAAACCCAGCUUCCCUGAUUGCCAACCUGAUAUUCUUUUCCCCCUGAACUUUAAUAAAUGAUGGAAUUACAGAAUACCAGAGCUGGGAGGGUCAUGAGCACUCACCUAGUUCAACUCUUCUCUUUUACAAAGGCAGGGAAAGAUGAAUGGACUCAUCUAUAUGUAAUAAGGAGCAGUGACAGCAGAGACAUGAAAUGGAAACUUUGCAGUGUUUUGUUCUUGGAAGGAAUAAAAUAUUUUGGAAAGUGAAGGAGAAGUAGUAGAGAGGAAAAAUACUAGACCUGGGUUUGAAUUCUGCCUUCAAUACUUCAUAGUUGUGUGAUCCCAGUAAAAUGAUCUGGAGAAGGAAAUGGCAAACCACUACAGUAUCUGUGUCAAGAAAACCCUGAAUGGAACCACAAAGAAUCCAACACUACUUAAAAAUAACUAAACAACAACAAAUAUCAAGGUGCCAUGCAUCAAUUUCCCAAUAUGACCUUUUGGACUUUUUGAGACAGAAUGAUGAUUUUUAAAAAUUGUUGUCCUAGAAAACUCCCUCUGUUAGAGUUUACUAAGUUUAUGCUGAUGGUCUGGACCAUUUUGGCUUACAACAAAAUAGAGGUGAAUUAAUUGUAUGUGAUAUUAGGGAGGAGGUGUGGCCAAAUGAAAGGCAGGGAAAGAGCAUUUGCCAAAAAAUUACUAUUGACAAUCAACAAAUACAAACACUUCAAUAUAGAAUGAAAAAAAAGGGCAUAAUAUGAAAUUGCGAUCUCCUGUUAGACAGUUUGUUUUUAAGUGCAUAUUAAAUGUAACAAGAUA